UAUUAAAGUAAAAAUCUUAAUUAAAUCCUACUCAAAAUCUAAUCAAAUUCUAGUCAAAUCUUAAUCAAAUCCUAACCAAAUUCUAAAUAAAUCCUAGUAAAAUCCUAAUAAAUCCUAACCAAACCUAAUCAAAUCUUAAACAAAUCUUAAUCAAAUUCUAGUCAAAUCUUAAAUAAAUUCUAACCAAAUUCUAAACAAAUCCUGAACAAAUAUUAAAUAAAUCCUAAAAAAAUAUUAAAUAAAUCCUAAUCAAAUCCAAAACAAAUCUUUAUUAAGUCCUAAACAAAUCCUAACCAAAUUCUAACCAAAUCCUAACCAAAUCCUAAAUAAAUCCUAAUCAAAUCCUAAACAAAUCCUAACCAAAUCCUAACCAAAUCCUAAACAAAUCUUAAUCAAAUCGUAAACAAAUCCUAAUCAAAUCGUAAAAAAAUCCUAAAUAAAUCUUAACCAAAUCCUAAA
rnacentral:lncRNA from 1 species